rnacentral:rRNA from 1 species
GAGUUUGAUCCUGGCUCAGGAUGAACGCUGGCGGCGUGCUUAACACAUGCAAGUCGAACGAACCUUCGGGUUAGUGGCGGACGGGUGAGUAACGCGUGAGAAUCUGCCCUCAGGAGGGGGAUAACAGCUGGAAACGGCUGCUAAUACCCCAUAUGCCGCGAGGUGAAAUGAAUUUCGCCUGAGGAUGAGCUCGCGUCUGAUUAGCUAGUUGGUGUGGGUAAUGGCUCACCAAGGCAUCGAUCAGUAGCUGGUCUGAGAGGAUGAUCAGCCACACUGGGACUGAGACACGGCCCAGACUCCUACGGGAGGCAGCAGUGGGGAAUUUUCCGCAAUGGGCGAAAGCCUGACGGAGCAACGCCGCGUGAGGGAUGAAGGCCUCUGGGCUGUAAACCUCUUUUAUCAAGGAAGAAGAUCUGA